ACCCUGGCCCACCUCGAGCGCACCUUCAUCGCCCUCAAGCUGGACUGCGUGCAGCGCAGCCUGGUGGGCGAGAUCAUCAAGCGCUUUGAGCAGAAGGGGUUCCGCCUUGCGGCCAUGAAGUUCCUCCCGGCCUCCGAGGAACACCUGAAGCAGCAAUGCAUUGACCCGAAAGACGGCCCAUUCGUCCCUGGGCUGGCGAAGUACACGAACUCAGGGCCGGUCGUGGCCAUGGCCUGGGAGAGGCUGAAUGUGGUGAAGACAGGCCGAGUGAUGCUUGGAGAGACCAAUGCAGCAGAUUCUAAGCCAGGCACCAUUCGCGGGGACUUCUGCAUUCAGGUUGGCAGGAACAUCAUGCAUGACAGUGACUCGGUAAAAAGUGCUGAAAAAGAAAUCAGGCUGAGAGUCAAGAGUGCGAGGAGAGCAGAGCGUGUGAGCAGCGCAGCGGCCUCCUCUCCUCACCUCGCUCCCGCGGCCUCCCUUUACCUACCCGCCUGCACGGCGCCCAGAACACCUUCCACCGUCACUGCCUCAAUAAGUUCCUAUUUAACAAAGGCAUCAAGUAGGGGUACGUGUCCCCGCCUCAGGGCGAGAAAGUCCAGGCCACGCCUAUCUGGAUCGAUGGUACUGGAGGGGACUGCGCUGCAAGACCAGGACCCUGGACACUAAGCCCAAGUGCGUGGAAGAGUUCCUGAGUGGAAUUUCCAUGGCUCUAGCACUUUACAGUCUGGAGGCUCCAACAGUGACAUGUAUCUCGUGCUUGCUGCCAUGUUUCGGGACCCCUUCUGUAAGGACCCUAACAAGCUGGUGUUGUGUGAAGUUUUCAAGUACAAUGGAAAGCCUGCAGAGACCAAUUUGAGGCACACCUGUAAACGGAUAAUGGACGUGGUGAGCAACCACCACCCCUGGUUUGGCAUGGAGCAGGAAUGGGGACAGAUGGGCACCCCUUUGGUUGGCCUUCCAAUGGCUUCCUGGGACCCCAGGGUCCAUAUUACUGUGGUGUGGGAGCAGACCAAGCCUCCAAGCCUAUGGCAGGGAAAUCGUGGAGGCCCAUUAUCGGGCCUGCUUGUAUGGUGGAGUCAAGAUUGCUGGGACUAAUGCCGAGAUCAUGCCUGCCCAGUGGGAAUUUCAAAUUGGACCCCGUGAAGGAAUCAGCAUGGGAGAUCGUCUCUGGAUGGCCCGUUUCAUCUUGCCUCGUGUAUGUGAAGACUUUGGAGUGAUAGCAACCUUUGAUUCUAAGCCCAUUCCUGGGAACUGGAAUGGUGCAGGCUGCCAUACCAACUUUAGUACCAAGGCCAUGCGGGAGGAGAAUGGUCUGAAGUACAUUGAGGAGGCCAUCGAAAAACUAAGCAAGCGGCACCAGUCACUGCGCCUAUAAUCCCAAGGGAGGCCUGGACGCCCGACGCCUAACUUCCUCAAAACCUCCAGCAUCCACGACUUUUCUGCUGGUGUAGCCAAUUGUAGCGCCAGCAUAUGCAGUUCCCGGACUGUCGGCCAGGUGAAGAAGGGUCACUUUGAAGACCGUCGCCCCUCUGCCAACUGCUACCCCUUUUUGGUGACCGAAGCCCUCAUCCGCACGUCUUCUCAACGAAACCGGUGGUGAGCCCUUCCAGUAUAAAAACUGAGUGGACUCGACCUCCAGCUGUCGGGCCCUCCUCCUCGUUCUUCCUCCCACUCCAACUCCUCACCCUCUCCUAGUUGUCCCAGUUGUAACUCGAAGGGAGGAAUAUCAAGGUCUUUUUUUUUCCUUGUGCCCAGUUAAUCUUGCUUUCUUUGUUUGGCUGGGAUAGAGGGGUCAAGUUAAUUUCUUCACAUCCCUUUCCUUGUUUUUUCUAUCACUAAAGCUUUUUAGUGCAUUAGUGGGGAGGAGGAGGGGAAACAUAACCACUGCUUCCAUUUAAUUGGGUGCACCUGUCCAGUAGGCGUGGCUCUCCAGACAGAGCAGAUUUGCAGGAG